CUGGUUGAUCCUGCCAGUAGUCAUAUGCUUGUCUCAAAGAUUAAGCCAUGCAUGUCUCAGUAUCAGCAUUAACUAUUGCUAAACUGCGAAUGGCUCAUUAAAACAGUUAUAGUUUACUUGGCGUCACUCGUUAUAUGGAUAACUGUGGUAAUUCUAGAGCUAAUACAUGCGUUAAAACCUGACUUCACGGAAAGGUUGUAUUUAUUAGAUACAGAACCAACCCUACUUCGGUGGUUUUGGAUGAUUCAUGAUAAAUGAACGGCGCGUAUAGCCUGCGGUGACGCUGUGCCAUUCAAGUUUCUGACCUAUCAGCUACCCGACGGUAGGGUAUUGGCCUACUGUGGCAUUGACGGGUAACGGAGAAUUAGGGUUCGAUUCCGGAGAGGGAGCCCGAGAAACGGC
rnacentral:rRNA from 1 species